UCGAGCGAGAAAUCUAAGUUUGACGCUUCGGUUGAUUUCUUAGAUGGAAAGCGGCGCAAGGGAGAGUAACGCGUAGUUAUCUGCCCCAAGGUCCGGAAUAGCCUCGGGAAACUGAGGGUAAUGCCGGAUAAUAUCCCCGGAUCAAAGGUGUGAUUCCGCCUUGGGAGGAGACUGCGUUGUACUAGCUUGUUGGUGGGGUAAUGGCCUACCAAGGCGAUGAUGCAUAGCGGGCGUGAGAGCGUGGCCCGUCUCACUGGGACUGAAACACUGCCCAGACACCUACGGGUGGCUGCAGUCGAGAAUCUUCGGCAAUGGGCGAAAGCCUGACCGAGCGAUGCCGCGUGCGGGAUGAAGGCCUUCGGGUUGUAAACCGCUGUCAGUUGGGAGGAAGGCUCCGUGAAGAGCGGAGCUUGACCUAUCUUCAGAGGAAGUCCGGGCUAAGUUCGUGCCAGCAGCCGCGGUAAUACGAACCGGACAAACGUUAUUCGGAAUUAUUGGGCUUAAAGGGUGCGUAGGCGGCGCGGUAAGUGAGGUGUGAAAUCCCACGACUCAAUCGUGGAACUGCGCUUCAUACUGCCGUGCUAGACAGAGGUAAACGGAACUGAUGGUGAAGC
rnacentral:rRNA from 1 species